GACGAACGCUGGCGGCGUGCCUAAUACAUGCAAGUAGGACGCAGUUGCGAACGGGUGAGUAACGCGUAGGUAACUACCUAUUAGAGGGGGAUAACUAUUGGAAACGAUAGCUAAUACCGCAUACUAGUAGAUGGACCUGCGUUGUAUUAGCUAGUAGGUCGGUUAAUGGCCUACCUAGGCCACGAUACAUAGCCGACGUGAGAAGGGGAUCGGACAAAAUGGGACUGAGAAACAGCGCAGACUCCUACGGGAGGAAGCAGUAGGGAAUCUUCGGCAAUGGGGGGAACCCUGACCGAGCAACGCCGCGUGAGUGAAGAAGGUUUUCGGAGCGUAAAGCUCUGUUGUUAAGGAAGCGGUACUUAAACAGAAAGGGACGGCUAACUACGUGCCAGCAGCCGCGGUAAUAC
rnacentral:rRNA from 1 species